AAGGAGUUAGUUAAUAUAUAUAACAUUAGAGUGUCAAUCUAAAAUAACUAAAUAAUUAGUACACCUUG
rnacentral:tRNA from 1 species